GCCGCCAUCGUCUAGCCCGGCCUAGGACACCGCCCCUUCAAGGCGGGAACACGGGUUCGAAUCCCGUUGGCGGUA
rfam:Candidatus Thrbacteria bacterium RIFCSPHIGHO2_02_FTLL_57_19 rifcsphigho2_02_scaffold_10477, whole genome shotgun sequence.